rnacentral:rRNA from 1 species
UACGUAGGGUGCGAGCGUUAAUCGGAAUUACUGGGCGUAAAGCGUGCGCAGGCGGCGGCUCAAGUCAGGUGUGAAAUCCCCGGGCUUUAACCUGGGAAUUGCGCUUGAAACUAGGUCGCUAGAGUGUGGCAGAGGGGGGGUGGAAUUCCACGUGUAGCAGUGAAAUGCGUAGAUAUCAGGAGGAACGCCAGUGGCGAAGGCGACUUCCUGGCCUGUUCUUGACGCUGAGGCGCGAAAGCUAGGGUAGCAAACGGG